rnacentral:rRNA from 1 species
AUGGGUGGUUUGAUUAUACAGGGCGAAAUGGAGAAAGCAUUUGUAAUGUUCGAGAUAAUAACUAUGCGUGCGACAUUUUUGGUCCGAUGCUCGUGCAUGCUACGUACUUCUGAACCACACAGAUUGAAAAGAUGUUGGGAUCCAACGGGCCAGCCGGGAGAUCGUACGGAAAUCAGAUGGAAAUUGUCGUGCGGGUAG